CCUACGGGUGGCUGCAGUGGGGAAUUUUGGACAAUGGGGGCAACCCUGAUCCAGCCAUUCCGCGUGAGUGAAGAAGGCCUUCGGGUUGUAAAGCUCUUUUGUCCGGAGCGAAACGGGCGGCCCUAAUACGGUCGUCUACUGACGGUACCGGAAGAAUAAGCACCGGCUAACUACGUGCCAGCAGCCGCGGUAAUACGUAGGGUGCGAGCGUUAAUCGGAGUUUGUGGGCGCAAUGUGUUAAGAGGCGUGUGAAAUCCCCGGGCUCAACCUGGGAAUGGCAUUUGGGACUGCAAGGCUGGAGUGUGGCAGAGGGGACUAGAAUUCCUGGUGUAGCAGUGAAAUGCGUAGAUAUCAGGAGGAAUACCGAUGGCGAAGGCAGGUCCCUGGGUUAACACUGACGCUCAUGCACGAAAGCGUGGGGAGCAAACAGGAUUAGAUACCCCGGUAGUC
rnacentral:rRNA from 1 species